rnacentral:snRNA from 1 species
GGAUGUGAGGGCGAUCUGGUUGCGACAUCUGUCACCCCAUUGAUCGCCAGGGUUGAUUCGGCUGAUCUGGCUGGCUAGGCGGGUGUCCCCUUCCUCCCUCACCGCUCCAUGUGCGUCCCUCCCGAAGCUGCGCGCUCGGUCGAAGAGGACGACCAUCCCCGAUAGAGGAGGACCGGUCUUCGGUCAAGGGUAUACGAGUAGCUGCGCUCCCCUGCUAGAACCUCCAAACAAGCUCUCAAGAACCUACUAUUUUUAAAUUGAAAAAUUCAAUUUCAUUCUUGGACAAUUAAAUUGUAACUAUUUCCAGGGGA